AGUGGCGGACGGGUGAGUAACGCGUGAGAAUCUGCCUUGGGGUCGGGGACAACCACUGGAAACGGUGGCUAAUACCGGAUAAGCCGAUUGGUGAAAGAUUUAUUGCCCGAAGAGGAGCUCGCGUCUGAUUAGCUAGUUGGUGAGGUAAGAGCUCACCAAGGCAGCGAUCAGUAGCUGGUCUGAGAGGACGAUCAGCCACACUGGGACUGAGACACGGCCCAGACUCCUACGGGAGGCAGCAGUGGGGAAUUUUCCGCAAUGGGCGAAAGCCUGACGGAGCAAGACCGCGUGAGGGAGGAAGGCUCUUGGGUUGUAAACCUCUUUUCUCAGGGAAGAAGCUCUGGCGGUACCUGAGGAAUCAGCCUCGGCUAACUCCGUGCCAGCAGCCGCGGUAAUACGGAGGAGGCAAGCGUUAUCCGGAAUUAUUGGGCGUAAAGCGUCCGCAGGUGGCGAUUCAAGUCUGCUGUCAAAGCACGGGGCUUAACUCCGUAAAGGCAGUGGAAACUGAAUAGCUAGAGUGCCGUAGGGGUAGAGGGAAUUCCCGGUGUAGCGGUGAAAUGCGUAGAGAUCGGGAAGAACAUCGGUGGCGAAAGCGCUCUACUGGACGGCAACUGACACUCAGGGACGAAAGCUAGGGGAGCGAAUGGGAUUAGAUACCCC
rnacentral:rRNA from 1 species